CAAUAGCGUAUAUUAAAGCUGUUGCGGUUAAAAAGCUCGUAGUUGGAUUUCUGUCAAGGACAACUGGUCCGCCCUCCGGGUGAGCACAUAGUUUGGUCUUGGCAUCUUGCUGGAAACUGUUGCUGCGCUUGGUUGUGUGGUGCAGCUUUCAGCACUUUCACUUUGAGGAAAUUGGAGUGUUUCAAGCAGGCACAUGCCUUUGGACACAGUAGCAUGGAAUAAUUAGAUUGGGCUUUUGCUCCAACUUGUUGGUUCCUGGAGCUGAGGUGAGAAUCAAUGGGGAUUGUUGGGGGCAUCCGAAUUUAGCCGGCAGAGGUGAAAUUCUUGGAUCUGCUAAAGACGGACAACUGCGAAAGCGUUUGCCCAGGAUGUUUUCAUUGA
rnacentral:rRNA from 1 species